GAUGAACGCUGGCGGUCUGCCUAACACAUGCAAGUCGAACGGAAUCCUUCGGGAUUUAGUGGCGGACGGGUGAGUAACGCGUGAGAAUCUGCCUUCAGGUUCGGGACAACAGCUGGAAACGGCUGCUAAUACCGGAUGUGCCGAGAGGUGAAAGCUUUAGUGCCUGAAGAUGAGCUCGCGUCUGAUUAGCUAGUAGGAGUGGUAAUGGCACCCCUAGGCGACGAUCAGUAGCUGGGCUGAGAGGAUGAUCAGCCACACUGGGACUGAGACACGGCCCAGACUCCUACGGGAGGCAGCAGUGGGGAAGUUUCCGCAAUGGACGGAAGCCUGACGGGGCAAGACCGCGUGAGGGAAGAAGGUCUGUGGAUUGUAAACCUCUUUUGAUGGGGAAGAAGACAGUGACGGUACUCAUCGAAUCAGCCUCGGCUAACUCCGUGCCAGCCGCCGCCGUAA
rnacentral:rRNA from 1 species